rnacentral:rRNA from 1 species
GACGAACGCUGGCGGCGUGCCUAAUACAUGCAAGUAGAACGCUGAAGAGAGGAGCUUGCUCUUCUUGGAUGAGUUGCGCACGGGUGAGUAACGCGUAGGUAACCUGCCUUGUAGCGGGGGAUAACUAUUGGAAACGAUAGCUAAUACCGCAUAACAAUUGGUGCCACAUGUCAUUUAUUUGAAAGGGGCAAUUGUUCCCCUACAAUAUGGACCUGCGUUGUAUUAGCUAGUAGGUUAGGUAAUGGCUCACCUAGGCGACGAUACAUAGCCGACCUGAGAGGGUGAUAGGCCACACUGGGACUGAGACACGGCCCAGACACCUACGGGAGGCAGCAGUAGGGAAGCUUCGGCAAUGGGGGCAACCCUGACCGAGCAACGCCGCGUGAGUGAAGAAGGUUUUCGGAUCGUAAAGAUCUGUUGUAAGACAAGAACGGGUGUGAGAGUGGAAAGUUCACACUGUGAAGGUAGCUUACCAGAAAGGGACGGCUAACUACGUG